GUCGAACGGAAAGGCUCCAGCUUGCUGGAGUACUCGAGUGGCGAACGGGUGAGUAACACGUGGGUAAUCUGCCCUGCACUCUGGGAUAAGCCUGGGAAACUGGGUCUAAUACUGGAUAUGACCUUUCUCCUUAUGGGGUUUGGUGGAAAGUUUUUCGGUGUAGGAUGAGCCCGCGGCCUAUCAGCUUGUUGGUGGGGUGAUGGCCUACCAAGGCGACGACGGGUAGCCGGCCUGAGAGGGUGAUCGGCCACAUUGGGACUGAGAUACGGCCCAGACUCCUACGGGAGGCAGCAGUGGGGAAUAUUGCACAAUGGGCGGAAGCCUGAUGCAGCGACGCCGCGUGAGGGAUGACGGCCUUCGGGUUGUAAACCUCUUUCAGCAGGGACGAAGCGUAAGUGACGGUACCUGCAGAAGAAGCACCGGCUAACUACGUGCCAGCAGCCGCGGUAAUACGUAGGGUGCGAGCGUUGUCCGGAAUUACUGGGCGUAAAGAGCUCGUAGGCGGUUUGUCACGUCGUCUGUGAAAUCCUAGGGCUUAACCCUGGACGUGCAGGCGAUACGGGCUGACUUGAGUACUACAGGGGAGACUGGAAUUUCUGGUGUAGCGGUGGAAUGCACAGAUAUCAGGAAGAACACCGAUGGCGAAGGCAGGUCUCUGGGUAGUAACUGACGCUGAGGAGCGAAAGCAUGGGUAGCGAACAGGAUUAGAUACCCUGGUAGUCCAUGCCGUA
rnacentral:rRNA from 1 species